rnacentral:rRNA from 1 species
GGGAAUAUUGGACAAUGGGGGGAACCCUGAUCCAGCAAUGCCGCGUGUGUGAAGAAGGCCUGCGGGUUGUAAAGCACUUUUGUUGGGGAGGAGAGUGUGAUGGGGAGAAGCCAUCAUAUGCGACGGGACCCAAAGAAGAAGAACCGGCUAACUCUGUGCAAGCACCCGCGGUAAUACAGAGGGUGCAAGCGUUAAUCGGAAUUACUGGGCGUAAAGCGCACGUAGGUGGUUGAAAAAGUUAGCUGUGAAAGCCCUGGGCUUAACCUGGGAAGUGCAGCUAAGACUAUUGAGCUAGAGUACAGUAGAGGGAAGUGGAAUUUCCGGUGUAGCGGUGAAAUGCGUAGAUAUCGGAAGGAACACCAGUGGCGAAGGCGGCUUCCUGGACUGAUACUGACACUGAGGAGCGAGAGCGUGGGUAGCGAAC